rnacentral:lncRNA from 1 species
GAAUGGUAAAAAUGCAGUAUGUUAAAUAAUAAUAAAAAAUAGAUGGUAUUGAAAAACCAAAGUUAAAACCGAGUUGAAAGAAAUAAUGUUCUAAAAAUUAACUUAACAAAAUUUAUAAUUGUCACGUCAACGUUCAUUUUAUAAAUACAUAUCUUGAUGACUGUAUAUGUUAACAAUUUACAUCACUUUUUAAAGUUUUUAUAAUAUUAGUAUUAAUACAUGGGUUUAUUCAACCGUGCAGAUCACAUGUUUUUUAAACGUAACUUUUUAUUACUAAUAAUUAUAUAACAUUACAUUUAUCAACCCGUGUAUUACACGGGAUUCUAACCUAGUAGAGAGCAUAGUUGUCAAUAGCGAACGUAGCGAUCGCUAUAGCGUGCUACGUAGUGUAUAGGUCUAGGCUCGCUAAUAGGGUUGUAGCGAUAAUAGCGACAAUUUAUUCUUUUUUUUGUUUUUUUAAUAUAAAUAGCAAUUAAAAUAGCUAUAAAAUGGCUGGAUUUUAGGUUUUUGUUAAAUAUACAUGUAAAAUAGCAUAUACACCAGGGUAUUUUGAUAUAAUAUACAUAUAAAAAAAAUUUAAUUUUUUUUCUAGUGUAUCGCUAUUUAUAAACUAGCCGCCCGCUAUUUAUCGCCAAUUCGUUAUGCAGCAUAUAGCCGUGAGUUUAGUGAUCUCUCUACAGCAGUCCAAGCUUCUGCUCUUCUAG